UGGACAGUUGUUGGUAUGAUCAUGACCAUUGAUGAUUACAUGAAUAUCCUUGGCCCGUAGUGCAGGGAUGAUUCAAUGAUGUGGUUUAUUUAUUAAGCUGAGUCUCAGCGACAUGCUCUACUUGAAUCUUCUAAUGAAUUGCUUGUUCCGCUGAAGUUAAACUUAAUGUUUAUUGUAUUUUAUCAAUUUAACACUGUUGAAGGCUAACGAUAAA
rnacentral:lncRNA from 1 species